rnacentral:rRNA from 1 species
GACAGAGGUGCCGAGCGUUAGGCGGAAUCACUGGGCUUAAAGCGUGUGUAGGCGGCCCGUUAAGUGUCUUGUGAAAUCCCCCGGCUCAACCGGGGAACGGCUGGGCAUACUGGCGGGCUUGGGUCGCUCAGGGGCAGACGGAACAGGCGGUGGAGCGGUGAAAUGCGUAGAUAUCGGGAGGAACAUCAGUGGCGAAGGCGGCCACCUGGGACAACACUGACGCUGAGGCACGAAAGCGUGGGGAGCAAACAGG